rnacentral:rRNA from 1 species
UACGGAGGGUGCAAGCGUUAUCCGGAGUUACUGGGCGUAAAGGGCGUGUAGGUGGUUUCGUAAGUCUGGCGUGAAAUUUUUCGGCUUAACCGGGAAAGGUCGUCGGAUACUGCGGAGCUAGAGGACGGUAGAGGCGUGUGGAAUUCCGGGUGUAGUGGUGAAAUGCGUAGAGAUCCGGAGGAACACCAGUGGCGAAGGCGACACGCUGGGCCGUACCUGACACUGAUGCGCGACAGCAUGGGGAGCAAACAGG